AUCGUCUGCUAACUAUUUUGCCUCCAGUUCCCGGUAGUUAUUUUACCGCCUUUUCUGCUUGCAAUUCACGAUUUUCUCAUGUUUUCAGUGCACUAUAUAAGUGAUUGUUAAUUGAUAUUCCUCACUCGAGGUUGAAUAUUUGACAGCAUAACAAGUAUUUUGAUUAUUUGUUUAUUCUCGUAAGAAAACUUGACAAACCCUUCUGAGACGAAUAUUCAGUUUUUGGACAUCAUUUGCAUCUGGAAAUGAACACUUAACGUAAUACUCAGCUAAAAAGGUAGCAAUUUCGGAAAGAUGUUGCUGUUGGCUUUUAGCAUAAUCACAGAAAACAACAAUAGAAAGUUGCUGAUUGAUUUUGAAUCGUGUGAUGUUGUGGUUAGCACAGAAGCUUUGACUUGCUUAAAUGUAGACCACGUGGUGGACCUGUUUUCAUAAAUUAAAUUGCAGUGAAAAGAUAAGUAUAUGUUUAGAUAAAUUUGGUUUUUAAAGCUACUUGCCCAUAGUUUAGGUGAAAAAAUUUCAAUGUUAAUUUCCGCCAUGUUUGGCAUAUAAUGUAUAUAUGAUAUGACACUGAAAAAAUGAUGAAGUGGGUGAAAAUAAAGUUAGAUAUAAAAAAAAAAUGCAAGAAUAAUGUAAAUUGACUGCAUUACUUCAAAAGCGUUGAAACUGUUUGUUCCUUCUGCACACUAUAUUUGGUUAUUUUUAAAGAGGCAUCACAAAAUAGCUGUAUACUUUUGUAUUUCCAUGAUGGUAAUUAUACAUGUUUUGCAUGAAGAAAAUGAGAAAUAAUAAGUAUCUAGUUACAAAUUGACAGGGACAUAUAUAUUGCCAAGACAAUGUGUGUAAUGUUUUAAGAUUUAGCAAUAUGUACAUAAAUCAGUGUAUUGAGUUAAAUUUCGAUCACAUUUUGUUUCAACAGUUUUUAAGAUAGUUAUUCAUAUAUAAUUUUGAAACUAUGCUGAAAAGAGAUUCCAUGGAUAAGUUUGCAGAUGAAGUUGGCAAAACACAUUUAUUCAGGAAAGGCCUAAAUUGUCCACCUAAAAUUUUGUGGUAUAGCUGUAUUUUAAGAAUGAUUUUCAUGAAGAUUUUGUUGGUGAAAAAGUAGGUCACUAGGUAGUGGUGGGUCUUUAACAGUAUCUUUCAAAAAAAAUUUAUGCCACUAGUCACUUCAGAGUACCCUCUUGUUAUGGAAUUUUGAGAAAAAUUAUAAGAGAUGAUCAGCUUAACGUAGAGAUCGUUUAUUGAUGUGCAAUUCAGUAUUCAGAAUUGGUUAGAACUAUGAUAAAAAUUUAGUAUUUGUUCUUAUAUUUUAGUUGUAACAUGAAGUCACUAAAACGUCAGUUAUGUUGAUUUUGAAUCGGGUGAUGUUGUGUUUAGCACAGAAGCUUUGAUUUGGUUAAUUGUAGAACACGUGGUAUAUGUUUUCAAGAAUAAAAUUGCCGUGAAAAGAUAAGUAUAUGUUUUAGAUAAAUUUGUUUUUUAAGACUACUCGGCCAUAGUGUAGGUGAAAAUUUCAAUAUGUUCAUUUCUGCCAUGUUUUGCAUAUGACACUGAAAAAUGAAGUGGGUGAAAAUAAAAGUUAGAUAUUGGGAAAAAUGCAAGAAUAAUGUAAAAUGUGUGCAUUAUUUCAAAAGCGUUCCAACUGUUUUAUACUUUCUGCACAAUAUAUUUGGUUAUUUAUAAAAGUAUCUUGCAAAACUCUUAUGCCUAUAAGUUUGUACCACUAGUCAUUUCAGAGUACAUUUAUGGAUUUUUGAGACAAUUUAUUACUGAGUUAGCUAUGUUGCUUUUAGCCUUUCGUGCAUUAGUACGUUUUUUGCCAUUAAGUCAUGCAUUAUUGUGUUGACUGUCUUAUUGCAGUUGUGUGAUAAAUUCAACUACAAAAAGAAGUACAUCUGUGAAAGAUAUUGUUUUGGUAUAUUGAGCUGUUUUAAAGAACGACCGUGCUAUGAUGCAUUUGUUUUUUACAUUUUUGCCGUACUUUGAGACCACUGACCGUUUUAUUUUUGUUAUACUAUGAGAGUUUUACAUGCAGAUCAAUCUUCAAUCUGUUGAUUGUUGUUUUCAGAUGUCGUGAUUUGGAAAACGUUGAUUGGUAGAUGAUAUUUAUUUUAGAAGUUGUAAGGCUAACAAAAAAUUACAAUGUACGAAAAACUGCUAUGAAAAUAUGAAAUAUCUAAUAUAUAAUGUUCUUUUCAAUGACGGAUUAUCACGUUUUGAUAUAUUCAGUUGUUUUACGACCGUGCUGUGAUGGUGUUUGUUCUUGUAAUUUUUCGAAUAAGAGGCUGCUGUCCGUUUUACCUUGGCUUUUACACCAAAAUAUAAUCAUUAAUCCAUUAAUUAUUUCAGAUGUGCUAACCGUAACAUUGUUUGGCUGACAUAAAUUUCAGACGUUUUCAAACUGUAGUUAUUAGCUUAACGAAGAGAUUGUUUGAUUGAUAUACUGUUAGAUAUUUUAAUUAAAAAUAUGUGAAAACUGCGACGGAAGAUAAGUAUUUGGCUAUAAUGCGGAAAUAGUGACCGUUUUACUUUGGUCGUGCUAGGAAAGCAUUUGCGUUUCUUGGUGAAAAAGAAACAUUUUACUGUGGCCGUGCUGAGAAAGCGUUGGCUGUUUAUUUUAACCGUACAUUAUUGCGUUGACUGCCUUAGUCCGUGUUGUGAAAACAUUAGCUAUGACACUUUUACUUUUGCCAUAUUUUGAAAGUGUGGGAUGCUUUGUUCUCGUCGUGCAUAAUUGCGUUGACUUUCUUAUUAUUAGUGUUGUGAAAACGUUAGGUAUUGUACUUUACGUCGGCUGUGCUAUGGAAGUGUUGGCUGUUUUAUUUUUGUCGUGUAUCAUUUUGUUGACCGUUUAAUUUCUGUGUUGUGAAGUCAUUAGCUACAGCAUUGGGUACUGCAUUAAUGAAUGAGUAUUAUAUUUUGAUAAAUGAAGUUGUUUUUAAAACGACGGGGUUUUUGUCUUUUCAUUUUUGACAUAUUCAAUUACGUUAAUUGUGCUGGGAUAUAUAUAUGUAUAUUUAUUUUAUCUAGAUCAAUCGUUAAUCUUAUUAUGUUCUUUUCAGAUGUAGUGAUCAGUGUUACCUUGUUUGGUGGAUAUUUAUUUCUGUUGAGCUAAGAACAACAAUGAAUAGAUAAGUAUACAUUUGUAAUAUAGGGAGUCGCUUCAAACUUAAUUUAAAAGGAUACGCGAAAGCACUGAUUUUUUACAUUGUGCUUGUACGGCUAAGUGUUACCUGUUCAAGCUCAAUUUGCUAAGGAAAUUAUGCCCGUUUUGCUUUAACUGUACUGUAAAAGGUUUUACUGUUUUGACUGGUUAUAACGCAAAAGAGCUGACUAGCCAAACAAGUGUUCAUAUCAAACUCUGCAGUAAGUGUUACUUUUAGAUGUUGUGAAUAGUUUAACGUAUAUCGUUUUAGUGAAACUUUGAUAACAAGACAUGAUGUUCAUUUUUUAUAUUUCGAGUCCGUGAUGCGAAAACAUUAGCCGUUUCAUUUCUGCUAAACUUUGAAAUGUUGUCUGUAAUUUAUUUUUGCCGAGUUCUUUCCAAAUGAAAUAUUUAAUAUGUGAAUUAAUAUUUUCAGAUGGUGUGCAAGUUGUAGCUUAAUGUAGAUAGUAAGAUGGAUAUGUAAUUCAUAUAAAACUUGGUGAGAACUGCAAUGAAAGAUAAGUAUACUUUUUGAGUAUCAAGCUAUGUGUCUAUUUUACUUCAGCUGUUCUGUGAAAGCGGUGGGUGUUUGGAAAAAAUGACCGUUUUACUUUGGUAGUGCUGUUGAAGCGUACGCUGUAUCGAAAAAGUGACCGUUUGGUCGUGUUGUGAAAGCGUUUGCUGUAAAAAGUGAUAUUUUGCUUUGGCUGUGCUGAGAAAGCAUGGGCUGUAAAUUUUAGUCGUGCAUUAUUGCGUUGACUGUCCUUUGAAUGCUUUGUCUAUGAUACAUAAAUAUUAGGCCGUGCUGCGUUUACUUUGGCUAGCGUUCUGAAAACUUUGGAUAUUUCCAAAAGAAUCUUUUGAAUUUAUUACACUACAAUUACCUUCUUUGUUUAGCUCGAUUGGAAUGCUGUCAAAUACUAAGACCUGUAUCCUAUAUUUGUGUUUGUUGUUUUUGUAGUUAGGAACAUGAAAUUAGUGAAUAAUUGAUUUACUCACGAAAUAGAGUGAGUAAAUAAAAUUAUUCACGUUUUUCAUCGUCUGCUAACUAUUUUGCCUCCAGUUCCCGGUAGUUAUUUUACCGCCUUUUCUGCUUGCAAUUCACGAUUUUCUCAUGUUUUCAGUGCACUAUAUAAGUGAUUGUUAAUUGAUAUUCCUCACUCGAGGUUGAAUAUUUGACAGCAUAACAAGUAUUUUGAUUAUUUGUUUAUUCCCUCCCACCCACCCUAACAGACAUUUCAAGUUUCUGAAUAGUUAUUGCUGAUGGCUUGUAACUGUAUUCGAAUAUCAAAGGCAGAUUUGACAUUUUGACUGUGAUUUAAACAAGAGUAAUCAUUUAGCUCUAGAGAGAAUCCUCAGGUCAGACAUUACGUCUCCUUUAUGUUCUGAUAGAAAAUAAGGUUCACAGUUACGUACCUUAUAUUUCAAGGGUCUUUAGACAUGAACAAUUCCUUGAUAAUUAUUACUCUUGAGUAUUCAUAUAUUCCUAGAACUUUAAAGGCAGAUAUACAUUUAACAUUAUAUGAGAACAUUUGAAUUCUUCAUGCCAGACUCGGUAUCUACAUUUAGAAAAGUAACAUUCGCAAGUACGCAUUUACUUCUAUAUCUAUAUAUUUUAUGCUGUUUUUUCCCAUGCAAUGUUAUUCUUUCGUUAUCAAAUGGAAAUUGCCGUUAUCCUCUUUUGAGCUAGUUUUCAUUUUAUUUUUGAUUUUACCUUGAAAGAAUGUUAUGUUUUACACACUGCACAUUUUUCUUAUUUUGUGGUUAUUCAACGAAGCUGAGAGAGACCAGAAUUGCCAUCUUAUAUGCUGUUUAAUUAUUCUAGAUAAGAUGAGUUCAAGUUAUUACAUUUGGUUCAUUCGGGACCUAAUAGAAAGCACAUUUUUAAAGUUUAGAUUUUCAUGUACAUCUGAUUGUAUGUUUGCCUUAAAUUUUGAUAGUAUGUUUUCAGGCUGAGUGGUGUACAAAGAUAAAGAUAACCACAUUUACCCCACUUCUACUGGUCGAUCAUCAACACAUCGCACAACAUCGUACCGUCUGACAUUUGCAAGACAAAUAUAUUCGUAUUUUUUGUACAUUGGAAUGCUGUCAAAUACUAAGACCUGUAUCCUA